rnacentral:rRNA from 1 species
UGACUGUGCAAAGGUAGCAUAAUCAUUAGUCUUUUAAUUGAAGGCUUGUAUGAAUGGUUGGACGAAGUAUUAACUGUUUCAUAUAAAUUUAGAAUAAAAUUUUAUAUUUUAGUAAAAAAGCUAAAAUUUAAUUAAAAGACGAGAAGACCCUAUAAAUCUUUAUAUUUAAAUUUUAAUUUAAUUUUUUAAAUUAUUUUAAUUAAAUUUAAUUUAAAUAUUUUAUUGGGGUGAUAUUAAAAUUUGUAAAACUUUUAAUUUUAAAUAUACAUUAAUUUAUGUUUUAUUGAUCCAUAAAUAAUGAUUAUAAGAAUAAGUUACUUUAGGGAUAACAGCGUAAUUUUUUUGGAGAGUUCUUAUCAAUAAAAAAGUUUGCGACCUCGAUGUUGGAUUAAGAGAUAAAUUUAGGUGUAGAAGCUUAAAAAUUUAAGUCUGUUCGACUUUUAAAUUCUUACAUGAUCUGAGUUCAGACCGGCGUAAGCCAGGUUGGUUUCUAUCUUUAAUUUUUUAUAAUAUUUUAGUACGAAAGGACCAAAUAUUAAGUUUAUAAAAAUUUAUUUUUUUUGAAAAUAAUUAAAUAA